GCCCUUGUAGAUCAGCGGUAGAUCCCCUACAUUAUGUUAGUCAUCUACAAAUCCAAUUAUGUGGGUGAUGUGGGUUCGAGUCCCACCGAGGGCA